GACGAACGCUGGCGGCGUGCCUAAUACAUGCAAGUAGAACGCUGAAGCUUGGUGCUUGCACCGAGCGGAUGAGUUGCGAACGGGUGAGUAACGCGUAGGUAACCUGCCUGGUAGCGGGGGAUAACUAUUGGAAACGAUAGCUAAUACCGCAUAAGAGUAGAUGUUGCAUGACAUUUGCUUAAAAGGUGCCAUUGCAUCACUACCAGAUGGACCUGCGUUGUAUUAGCUAGUUGGUGAGGUAACGGCUCACCAAGGCAACGAUACAUAGCCGACCUGAGAGGGUGAGCGGCCACACUGGGACUGAGACACGGCCCAGACUCCUACGGGAGGCAGCAGUAGGGAAUCUUCGGCAAUGGACGGAAGUCUGACCGAGCAACGCCGCGUGAGUGAAGAAGGUUUUCGGAUCGUAAAGCUCUGUUGUAAGAGAAGAACGAGUGUGAGAGUGGAAAGUUCACACUGUGACGGUAUCUUACCAGAAAGGGACGGCUAACUACGUG
rnacentral:rRNA from 1 species